ensembl:lncRNA LOC120100623 uncharacterized LOC120100623
GACAGGAGGCUAACUUAAAAGAGCGUUUCAAGUCUGACUAGGAUAUUAAUUUGAAAAAUGAAAGAGAAUUGUUAGAUAAUUAUAAAACGAUUUCUGUAAGACUAUUUUAUGAUAUGCUGCUUUAACCAUUCUCUUCCUCUUUAGGAGCGAGAACAACAUCUCAAGAAGGAACUCUCUGAAGAGAGAAGAAGGCAUGAGAAAGAGAUUCAGAAUAUAGAGGCGAAAAACAGAGAAAGAAUCUUGCAAUUGGAAUCUGCGCGAGCUGAGGACUCAGAGAACACAAGAAAAAUGUUGAAGGAAAUGAAUGAGUUGAACCUGAAGAUUCUAGAUAAAAAACAAAAAUAUUUUGAGAAUCAUUUGAGACAGUUGACUGAGCAGACAGAAAAAGAUACAGCAAGGCUAAUGGCAGAGCAAGAGAUGAACUUCAAUAGUAAGCUUCAGGAGCAAGAAGAAUUGUUCAAUGAAAAGAUCAGUAUACAGAAUAAACAACAUCAGGAAGAAAUGAGGAAAAUCAAGAUGUAAAAGGACUCUAGUUGUUCCGUCAUGUGAAAG